rnacentral:rRNA from 1 species
AUUGAACGCUGGCGGAAUGCUUUACACAUGCAAGUCGAACGGCAGCACGGACUUCGGUCUGGUGGCGAGUGGCGAACGGGUGAGUAAUGUAUCGGAACGUGCCCAGUCGUGGGGGAUAACGUAGUGAAAAUUACGCUAAUACCGCAUACGAUCUAUGGAUGAAAGCGGGGGAUCGCAAGACCUCGCGCGAUUGGAGCGGCCGAUAUCAGAUUAGGUAGUUGGUGGGGUAAAGGCCCACCAAGCCAACGAACUGUAGCGGGUCGGAGAGGACGACCAGCCACACUGGAACUGAGACACGGUCCAGACUCCUACGGGAGGCAGCAGUGGGGAAUUUUGGACAAUGGGCGAAAGCCUGAUCCAGCCAUUCCGCGUGCAGGAUGAAGGCCCUCGGGUUGUAAACUGCUUUUGUACAGAACGAAAAGGUUUCUACUAAUACUAGGAGCUCAUGACGGUACUGUAAGAAUAAGCACCGGCUAACUACGUGCCAGCAGCCGCCGUAA